rnacentral:rRNA from 1 species
UGGCUCAGAACGAACGCUGGCGGCAGGCUUAACACAUGCAAGUCGAACGCCCCGCAAGGGGAGUGGCAGACGGGUGAGUAACGCGUGGGAAUCUACCGUGCCCUGCGGAAUAGCUCCGGGAAACUGGAAUUAAUACCGCAUACGCCCUACGGGGGAAAGAUUUAUCGGGGUAUGAUGAGCCCGCGUUGGAUUAGCUAGUUGGUGGGGUAAAGGCCUACCAAGGCGACGAUCCAUAGCUGGUCUGAGAGGAUGAUCAGCCACAUUGGGACUGAGACACGGCCCAAACUCCUACGGGAGGCAGCAGUGGGGAAUAUUGGACAAUGGGCGCAAGCCUGAUCCAGCCAUGCCGCGUGAGUGAUGAAGGCCUUAGGGUUGUAAAGCUCUUUCACCGGAGAAGAUAAUGACGGAUCCGAG